GACGAACGCUGGCGGCGUGCCUAAUACAUGCCAGUAGAACGCUGAAGGAGGAGCUUGCUUCUCUGGAUGAGUUGCGAACGGGUGGGUAACGCGUAGGUAACCUGCCUGGUAGCGGGGGAUAACUAUUGGAAACGAUAGCUAAUACCGCAUAAUAGCAGUUAUUGCAUGAUAACUGUUUGAAAGGUGCAAUUGCACCACUACCAGAUGGACCUGCGUUGUAUUAGCUAGUUGGUGGGGUAACGGCUCACCAAGGCGACGAUACAUAGCCGACCUGAGAGGGUGAUCGGCCACACUGGGACUGAGACACGGCCCAGACUCCUACGGGAGGCAGCAGUAGGGAAUCUUCGGCAAUGGACGGAAGGCUGACCGAGCAACGCCGCGGGAGUGAAGAAGGGUUUCGGAUCGUAAAGCUCUGUUGUAAGAGAAGAACGAGUGUGAGAGUGGAAAGUUCACACUGUGACGGUAUCUUACCAGAAAGGGACGGCUAACUACGUG
rnacentral:rRNA from 1 species